rnacentral:rRNA from 1 species
GACGAACGCUGGCGGUGUGCUUAACACAUGCAAGUCGAACGGAAAGGCCCUGCUUUUGUGGUGUGCUCGAGUGGCGAACGGGUGCGUAUCACGUGAGUAACCUGCCCUUGACUUUGGGAUAACUUCAGGAAACUGGGGUUAAUACCGGAUAGGAGCUCCUGUUGCAUGGUGGGGGUUGGAAAGUUUCGGCGGUUGGGGAUGGACUCGCGGCUUAUCAGCUUGUUGGUGGGGUAGUGGCUUACCAAACCUUUGACGGGUAGCCGGCCUGAGAGGGUGACCGGCCACAAUGGGACUGAGAUACGACGCAGACGCGUACGGUAGGCAGCAGUGGGGAAUAUUGCACAAGGGGCGGAAGCCGGAGGCAGAAGCGCCGGGUGCGGGAAGACGGCCUUCGGGUUGAAAACCGCAGUCGCCUGUGACGAAGCGUGAGUGACGGUAAUGGGUAAAGAAGCACCGGCUAACUACGUG